AAAGUACCUCAACAGCACUUUCCAAAUCCUAAAAAGAUAUAGGAUGAGGCUCAACCCCCUCAAGUGCGCCUUUGGGGUAGCCUCCGGCAAAUUCUUGGGGUACAUGGUCAACCAACGAGGAAUUGAGGCCAAUCCCGAGAAGAUUGAAGCUCUAUGCAAGAUGAGAUCCCCCCAAAAGCCAAAGGAGGUGCAAAGUCUUACCGGGCGAGUGGUCGCACUUAGCUGCUUCGUGUCCAAAGUUACGGACAAAUGCCUCUCAUUUUUCAAAGUACUGAAGGCUGGGAAGAAAUUUCAGUGGAUCGAGGAAUGUGAAGAGGCCUUCCAAUACUUGAAAAGACACUUGGGGCAAGCCCCCCUCCUCUCCAAACCUAAGCCCGAUGAUAUCCUACAACUAUAUUUGGCCAUCUCCAAUGAGGCCAUCAGCUCUGUUCUGAUACAGGAAGAAGGGUCUACCCAACUCCCCGUAUACUACACAAGUAAAGCGCUCCUAUAGCCGGAAACCCGUUACCCCGAUAUGGAGAAGCUCGCUUUGGCUUUGAUCACGGCCUCUAGGAAAUUGAGACCCUACUUCCAAGCUCACACCAUCCAUAUACUGACAAAUUUUCCCCUGAGGAAGGUACUCCAAAAGCCUGACGCCUCAGGAAGGUUAUUGAAAUGGGUGGUGGAACUUAAUGAAUUUGACCUUGUCUUCAAGGCAAGGGCAAGCCUUAGCUGACUUUGUGGCUGAAUUCGCCAACCUACCCGAGGUGGAUGAAAUCAUGGAACUUGUUGGAUCCCCCACGUGGAAUCUUUUCGUUGAUAGGUCAGCUGGAGAUGUUGGCUUUGGCGAUGGGGUUGUCCUCAUCAGCCCCGAAGGUCACAAACUCACCUCGACGGUGAGGUUCGGAUUCAAAGCUACCAAUAACACAGCAGAAUACGAGGCACUUCUAGAGGGCCUCGGGUUGGCCACCGAAAUGCAAGUAAAGAGGCUACUCAUCAGUAGUAACUCCCAGCAGGUUGUUAGCCAGGUCAAUGGUAACUUCUCAGCCAAAGACAAAACGAUGGCCUCCUACCUGAAAAUGGUGAUGAACCUCAUCCCGUCCUUCGAAAAGUUUGAGUUGAUCCAGACCCCCCGCAUCGAAAAUGCGCAUGCGGAUGCACUAUCAAAGCUGGCUAGUAGCAAGGACUCAGAGCUACUCACAGUAGUACCUAUUGAGCACCUCCUCCUACCUUCGAUCGAUGCCCCAAUGUAAUGUGGGUCGUUGGGACUCCCACUUGGAUGCAACCAAUCGAGCAUACCUCAAAGACCAGACACUGCCAACUAACAAGAAUGAGGCUUACAAGCUAAGAAGGAGGUCAGCUCACUUCCUCUUCAUUGAUGACGUUCUCUACAAGAGGAGCUUCUCCUCCCCCCUCCUACGGUGCGUCGGAGGAGAAGAGGCUACCUACAUAUUGAGGGAAGUCCACGAGGGCGUAUGCGGCAACCACUCCAGAGGUCUAUCUCUGGCAUAAAAAAUAUUGAGGCAGGGGUACUACUGGC
rnacentral:lncRNA from 1 species